CUCACAUAUUCUUAUACAUCCUCUAUAUUUUCCAUAUUCACUUACAUACAGGGGAACACACAGAAAUUCACAGCAACACACACCAAUAUCCGCUCUCAUUCUUUUCUAUAUCACACACACUUACAAAUUAGAUAAAAGAGACAUAAUUCCAUACGCACCACACACAGAGAAUACCCACACACAUUAGACAAAACCAAAAAAGAUCGAAGAAAAAUGCAUACAUAUGCUCUCACUGGAAAACACACACACACACGCAGUGAGGAAAGAUCGCCUAAAUAGAACGGUUUUGAGAGAAAAAAAUGGAUGAGGGAGAGAGAAACAGAUGGGAAUUGACUUUUCCAAUGAUUUUUUCAUCAGAAACACUACCAUCGUACAAACUGCUCUAUUUUCUUUGAUUCCCAUUGUCAUCGAGGUCGUUGAAGCUUCGAUGAAGUAAAAAACAGCAAACCCCAUUGCUAUUCUAACCAAAUCGGUUUAGCCUAACACACCGUUGUCUAAUUCUGGCAAAAAUCCAUCGAAAACGAGUAAAACAAGGUCGGGUUUGCAUGAAUCUAGUAUGGUCACUUGUCGAGGUGCAAUUUUCAAUUCGGUUUAGCAAAAAAAUAGAGCAAAAAAAGGUAGAUCGAGGUUUAUUCCAUCAUUGUCAAAUCUGUCUGGGUUGUCCAUCUUGACUCGAGUUGGUUCGUUCACUUGUUGAGGCUUGUUCGAGGUUUCGGGCGCGAUUUCCCUCUCAAUAGAUUGAGUAAUACUAAAUUGAAAGCAACGUUAAGAUCUUGAUCUUGCUGAUUCUUUGUCGGCAUAUCCACCUUCAAGGAUUUAUCUAUUUUUGAAACAGUUGACAAAAUUGCCUCCUUGGAAAAAAAAAAGGUGAUCCUAGUUCGAGUGCAUUUACAGUCGUGAUUCUUCAUGCAACUUUAGAGUCUUUCGAAGCCAAAGUGAGUUCCUCGUUCGGAGUUUGUAACCAUAUUCAUCUAGUUCUUAUGUCUUUACUUUACAAUGUUCUUUAUUCAUGAUAUAAGAUCUUCGGGGUUUGGGAGUUAUAUUAUUCAGGUAUUUGCUAUGUUAUUGUAUUAGAUCGACGUUAUCCCAAAUUCUUGUAUUUUGUUUUAUUACAUAUAUCUCUUUUCGUACUCA